GUGCGAGCGUUGUCCGGAAUCACUGGGCGUAAAGGGCGCGUAGGUGGCCCGUUAAGUGGCUGGUGAAAUCCCGCGGCUCAACUGCGGGGCUGCCGGUCAGACUGGCGAGCUAGAGCACGGUAGGGGCAGAUGGAAUUCCCGGUGUAGCGGUGGAAUGCGUAGAGAUCGGGAAGAAUACCAGUGGCGAAGGCGUUCUGCUGGGCCGUUGCUGACACUGAGGCGCGACAGCGUGGGGAGCAAACAGG
rnacentral:rRNA from 1 species